rnacentral:rRNA from 1 species
GACGAACGCUGGCGGCGUGCUUAACACAUGCAAGUCGAACGGAAAGGCCCUGCUUUUGUGGGGUGCUCGAGUGGCGAACGGGUGUGUAACACGUGAGUAACCUGCCCUUGACUUUGUGAUAACUUCAGGAAACUGGGGCUAAUACCGGAUAGGAGCUCCUGCUGCAUGGUGGGGGUUGGAAAGUUUCGGCGGUUGGGGAUGGACUCGCGGCUUAUCAGCUUGUUUGUGGGGUAGUGGCUUACCAAGGCUUUGACGGGUAGCCGGCCUGAGAGGGUUACCGGCGACAUUGGGACUGAGAUACGGCCCAGAAUGCAACGGGAGGCAGGAGUGGGGAAUAGUGCAAAAUGGGCGGAAGCGUGAUGAAGAAAAGCAGCGUGCGGGAUGAAGGGCUUCGGGUUGUAAAAAGCUGUCGAAUGUGACGAAGCGUGAGUGACGGUAAUGGGUAAAGAAGCACCGGCUAACUACGUG